GAUUCAGUAGUGUAGGGGUAUCAUGGGCGCUUGCCAUUCCUCUUUGAAAAGUGAUAGCAUUCUGCGCCCGACCCGGGUUCAAAUCCCGGCUGAAUCA